rnacentral:rRNA from 1 species
AUACGGAUGGUGCAAGCGUUACUCGGAAUCACUGGGCGUAAAGCGCGCGCAGGCGGUCUUUUAAGUUGGAUGUGAAAGCCUACGGCUCAACCGUAGAACUGCAUCCAAAACUAUUAGACUAGAGUGUGGGAGAGGAAGAUGGAAUUAGUUGUGUAGGGGUAAAAUCCGUAGAGAUAACUAGGAAUACCAAAAGCGAAGGCAAUCUUCUGGAACACUACUGACGCUGAGGCGCGAAAGCGUGGGGAGCAAACAGGAUUAGAAACCCUAGUAGUCC